GAGCAAAAAAGGGCUCCUUCAAGCUAACCCUAAAUCACUCAAAAUCAGCCAAUUUCAAGCAAGAAAUCAAGAGCAAAUCAAAAAUCAAGCUGAAAUUAGUGAUCACCAAGCCUAGGGGAUCCCAAGGCGACUCGAGCGAGAAGGUAGGUAAUAAAGCCGGGAGCGACACGCGGCAUAAAGAGAAGAUCUAAGGACUAAAUGAGCUCAAAUUAACAAAAGAAGCAAAAAGAC